rnacentral:rRNA from 1 species
AUUGAACGCUGGCGGCAUGCUUUACACAUGCAAGUCGAACGGCAGCGCGGGCUUCGGCCUGGCGGCGAGUGGCGAACGGGUGAGUAAUGCAUCGGAACGUGGCCAGUAGUGGGGGAUAGCCCGGCGAAAGCCGGAUUAAUACCGCAUACGACCUGAGGGUGAAAGCGGGGGACCGAAAGGCCUCGCGCUAUUGGAGCGGCCGAUGUCGGAUUAGCUAGUUGGUGGGGUAAAGGCUUACCAAGGCGACGAUCCGUAGCUGGUCUGAGAGGACGACCAGCCACACUGGGACUGAGACACGGCCCAGACUCCUACGGGAGGCAGCAGUGGGGAAUUUUGGACAAUGGGGGCAACCCUGAUCCAGCCAUGCCGCGUGCGGGAAGAAGGCCUUCGGGUUGUAAACCGCUUUUGUUCGGGAAGAAAUCCUCUGGGCUAAUACCCCGGGGGGAUGACGGUACCGGAAGAAUAAGCACCGGCUAACUACGUG